UCUCCAGCCGCAGCAGCUGCUACCCGAAGAAGCCAGCUUGGAACAAGAACAACGGUCCGUGUCACCGAGUCGAUCAUCUAGAAGCUCAAAGCAGACAUGGGUGCGGGAUUCCUUCUGCUGAUCCUGGCGGCUCUUUGCCUCUCAGCGAAUGGACUGUCGUCGACAACGGUGAUUGAUUCUACGACUGCUGAACUCUCAACCACCACCGCCAACAUAGCCUUCACCACCACAACCUCCUCCUCCACCACCACAACUUCCUCCACCACAACCUCCUCCACCACAACCUCCCCCGGCACAAUCACCACCACACCUGCCGCCUCCAACACCACCUCGACCGUCACUCCCACGACCAACUCAACGGCCGCCACAUCAAUCACCACGGCUCGGCAAACCACCGCCAAGGCACCGGCGAUGGCAACGGGAGGACUCUUUUCGGUGCUCCUCCCAGCAGCACUCGUCCUGGUUUCGUCGUGGUAGCAAGGGGACGCAUCCAGCCCUGCAGUUGGUUCCAACACCCACCCCAUGCCCCAUAACAACCCACCCCAUGCCCCGUAACAAUCCACCCCAUGCCCCAUAACAACCCACCCCAUGCCCCAUAACAACCCACCCCAUGCCCCGUAACAUCCACCCCAUGCCCCGUAACAUCCACCCCAUGUCGCGUAACAUCCACCCCAUGCCCAAUAAUAUCCAGCUCCUGACUCUUAACAUCCACCCCAUAACAUUCCCUCUGAAACCACCACCGCCAGCAGCAGCAGCACAUGGCUACACAAGGCACAGACCCAUCAUCGUUGAAUAUUUUUUUCACUCAGGCUUGUAGAGCCGGUUUAUGCACGGCUAACUGGACGUAAAAAAAUUCCACACCAAGUUGUGAUUUAAGAUUUAAUAGGUUGCAGAAAUCAAUCUUACAUCUAACAAACGUACGACCGGAAAGCAUCCCCAAAUGUACAAAACCGAAGCGCUGGUCUUCACCAAGCGCACUCAUUUUGAUGUCUGCAAACAACUCGCAAAAAAAAGAUAAAUAACUCGGCAGUUAAAUACAAUGUACAUGGCAACUGCGACGUUGUAAAUGGACCCUCGGCUUUGUGUCUGGCUUGUAUGCGAUGUCAAAAGCUACAACUUUGAUGCAUCCAUGUUUUAGUUUUGAUCACGCGGAGUUAACGUUUGUGUGUGUGGGGGGGAAUCGAACGCCGAAUAACAUUAUCGCAAGUACAAGUCACCAAUCCAGCCCUGAACGUGUUAUACAACAUUACGAUACAUCUACAUAAAGCAGUUCAGUAGCCUCAAAGGAAUAAUUCUAUCUUUAUACCAAAAAAAACUAAUAUAUAUUAUUUGUUGUGGCUUUUUAAAAAUGGUGGACACAUUUUAAAUAAUGCAUAAUCUUUCCAUAUUUAUGUUUCAUACUUUUUUUGGAGGGAGGGGGGGAGUGAUAUUUCAGGAACGGUUUGCUAAAUCACCUGUAUCCGGAUAUAAGAGGCGAAUUAAAGAAAUUGCAAUAAAAAACCAUACCGCGUGAUUCACAUUCCAGGGCCACCUUCUCAGUGAACGAUCGUGGCCGGCAAAUCGCCGACAGCAAUGCACGCGUUCCGAAAACAACAUCCGUCGAUUUUGUUACAUGGCGUGUACAGUGAAAACUAUGCACUGUUCAAUGAUCCCGGAGUGAUUUCCUUCUUAAAUUAAGAUAUUUGUGUGAAUCAAUGUUUUUACGCCAAUUUUUAUAGUUUACAAAAAAAUGCAAAUAAAUGAUAUUUGCUGUGCCAUUAUAUAAUGUACAUUGCAACCGGUGUGGGGAUAGCCGUAAAUUAAGCACUGAAAGCAAGUCCAUUAUUUUAUCGUCGAUUUGCGCUAUGCACUUUCUCAAUAAAUUGGUUUGGUUUUA